GGAUGUGAGAGUGAUCAGGCUGGCUAGGCCAGUGACCUCCAUCCCUCACUGCUCCAUGUGUGUCUCUGUGGAAGCAUCAUGCUUGGUCAAAGAGGACGACCUUCCCUAAGCAGAGGAUGGCUUUCUGUCAAGGGUAUACAGGCAGCUCUGCUCCCCUGCUGGAACCUCCAAACAACCUCUCAAGAAAGAACACUGCACAUGUUCAGUGCAGACAAGACCUUUGUAGGGCUGACUGUGAUCUUGCUGUUGUUUGAACCU
ensembl:misc_RNA Gm24224 predicted gene, 24224